UCAAGACGUCUCCCCCCCGUGAAAAUGUGCUUGGUGGGCAUGCUAGAGACAUCUGAGUUCCCUUUGACUGUGGGGAAGCUGGGAGUCCCGGACGGCUGGAAGUAGACAGCUGCGAUCUUGUGACAUCACUUCCUGUACGGCGGAACUCUUACAGUGUCCCCAGCAAUGAGGAAUGAUGAUCUAGGUUCCGCCUGGCAGCAUCCACAGGGUGAGAGAUGCAGGAACACAUGGGGUGGAUACAUGAACACAGAAUUGAAGAUGUCCUUAUCUGGCUUCAAAAUCAUUUAAAAAAUAGAAACCGAACCAUCAGCAAGUGCUAAUUGGAAGUUGAAAAAUUUACUAAUUGCCUUCUUAAUUACAUUAUGAUGAAAAUGAUAUGGGAAUAUGAAAUCAUCAAAAGUGUUAAUUUGUUCUUGCACAAACUGCAGACUCCCUGGUCAGAAGGAUUUGGAUGAUAAUCUGUUAUUGUUUUCCUCAACCCAUACGGAUGAAAAAUUCAGAUAAAAAGCCCUCAAAACAAGGAAUAACUAAACCAGAGCUUCCAUGCGGCAGAAGCAACAACAGCCUAUUAAUUGGUCAAGUCUGAUGCAAGAGCCAGGAUGAUCAGAUACUCAUUA